GAUGAAGAACGGAGCGAAAUGCGAUAAGUAAUGUGAAUUGCAGAAUUCAGUGAAUCAUCGAAUCUUUGAACGCACAUUGCGCCCGCCAGUAUUCUGGCGGGCAUGCCUGUUCGAGCGUCAUUUCAACCAUCAAGCCCCCGGCUUGUGUUGGGGACCUGCGGCUGCCGCAGGCCCUGAAAACCAGUGGCGGGCUCGCUAGUCACUCCGAGCGUAGUAAUACAUCUCGCUCAGGGCGUGCUGCGGGUUCCGGCCGUUAAAAAGCCUUAUUUACCCAAGGUUGACCUCGGAUCAGGUAGGAAGACCCGCUGAACUUAAGCAUAUCAAUAAGCGGAGGA
rnacentral:misc_RNA from 1 species